rnacentral:rRNA from 1 species
AUGAAGGCCAGCUACGCAUCAAAGGCGAUAGCUCACGAUAGCCACGUCGGCAACGAAAAAGACAGGAGGAGAAAAUCGCCUUCACAGCCCCUUCUCCGCCCUCCGCCUCGUCCUCUUCUCCGGCGCCGCCACCCCACCCCUUCUAUCCAGCGGUGUCGCCUCUCCUUCCCGGUAUGUGAGCCGCCGCCCCUCCUCCUCCUCCUAUCUCCCGCCGUCUCGCCGCUGCAGUCGUCCCCAAGGAUAGCGCAGACUGAAGAGACGCCCUGCCGUCGUGCUCCUUUUUGUAGGGACGGGGACGGGAAAGGGAGGCCCGAGGGCGGCAAGUUCCGUCGGAUGGUAGCGGCCGUCGCCUCGGAGGGCGCAGGGGGAGGCGCGCUGCUCGCGUCGCUCAUGGAGCCCUGCGAGGCGCUCUCGUUCUGCACGGAGGACGCCGGGGGCUACUUCCCCGUGGAGUCCACCGCCCGGGCGCUUGUGCGGCUGGCCGACGCCGAGGUCGCCAGCCCCGGCGAGAUGCUGCUCGCCGUGCGCGCCAUCACUUGCAGGUGGCAUUUCUUUUCCCUUUUCUAUAGGAUAGAACUUUUCACUGUUGUCCCUGGAUUUUUGCUCUAUCGAGGACUGCAUGACCUUGGUCAAUAUGCAUUCUUGGAAAUUCUCUGGGAGCCAGCCAUAAAGAAGGAAUUUCUACUGUAUCUUGUGGCAUUCUUAGUCAGGUACUAA